ACGCUAGCUACAGGCUUAACACAUGCAAGUCGAGGGGAAACGGCAUUUAGUGCUUGCACCGAAUGGACGUCGACCGGCGCACGGGUGAGUAACGCGUGUCCAACCUACCCAUUACUGUGGGAUAACCUGCCGAAAGGCAGACUAAUACCGCAUGGUCUUCGAUGACGGCAUCAGAUUUGAAGUAAAGAUUUAUCGGUAAUGGAUGGGGAUGCGUCUGAUUAGCUUGUUGGCGGGGUAACGGCCCACCAAGGCGACGAUCAGUAGGGGUUCUGAGAGGAAGGUCCCCCACAUUGGAACUGAGACACGGUCCAAACUCCUACGGGAGGCAGCAGUGAGGAAUAUUGGUCAAUGGGCGAGAGCCUGAACCAGCCAAGUAGCGUGCAGGAUGACGGCCCUAUGGGUUGUAAACUGCUUUUGUAUGGGGAUAAAGUCAAUCACGUGUGAUUGUUUGCAGGUACCAUACGGAUAAGGACCGGCUAAUUCCGUGCCAGCAGCCGCGGUAAUACGGAAGGUCCAGGCGUUAUCCGGAUUUAUUGGGUUUAAAGGGAGCGUAGGCCGGAGAUUAAGUGUGUUGUGAAAUGUAGACGCUCAACGUCUGACUUGCAGCGCAUACUGGUUUCCUUGAGUACGCACAACGUUGGCGGAAUUCGUCGUGUAGCGGUGAAAUGCUUAGAUAUGACGAAGAACUCCGAUUGCGAAGGCAGCUGACGGGAGCGCAACUGACGCUUAAGCUCGAAGGUGCGGGUAUCGAACAGGAUUAGAUACCCUGGUAGUCCGCACAGUAAACGAUGGAUGCCCGCUGUUGGUACCUGGUAUCAGCGGCUAAGCGAAAGCAUUAAGCAUCCCACCUGGGGAGUACGCCGGCAACGGUGAAACUCAAAGGAAUUGACGGGGGCCCGCACAAGCGGAGGAACAUGUGGUUUAA
rnacentral:rRNA from 1 species